CUCAGGACGAACGCUGGCGGCGUGCCUAAUACAUGCAAGUCGAGCGGACUUCUUAAAAGCUUGCUUUUAAGAAGUCAGCGGCGGACGGGUGAGUAACACGUGGGCAACCUGCCUGUAAGACUGGGAUAACUUCGGGAAACCGGAGCUAAUACCGGAUAAUAUAAGGAACCUCCUGGUUCUUUAUUGAAAGAUGGUUUCGGCUAUCACUUACAGAUGGGCCCGCGGCGCAUUAGCUAGUUGGUGAGGUAAUGGCUCACCAAGGCGACGAUGCGUAGCCGACCUGAGAGGGUGAUCGGCCACACUGGGACUGAGACACGGCCCAGACUCCUACGGGAGGCAGCAGUAGGGAAUCUUCCACAAUGGACGAAAGUCUGAUGGAGCAACGCCGCGUGAGCGAUGAAGGCCUUCGGGUCGUAAAGCUCUGUUGUUAGGGAAGAACAAGUGCGAGAGUAACUGCUCGCAC
rnacentral:rRNA from 2 species